rnacentral:lncRNA from 1 species
AAAGUCACAGGUAAGAACGGACCGGAAUAGCCAAAGUCUAGCAAUUAGGUAUCCGUGUGUCUACUAGCAACUCCACCUGUGGUGACAAAUGGGUGGAUUAAGUAGCUCAGGAAUCACCACUGCCGGCCCUAAGCCCGGGUAAAGGAGGAAGGUUGGGCAGUGGGCUGACAACCCACUCCCGGAAAAAACACACUGUUACGAAACCUGAACAUUUGCCUC